AUCUAAAUAGUUUACUGAAAAUAUUAACUUGUGGAGUUAAAGAAAUAUAAUAUAUUUUAGAUA
rnacentral:tRNA from 1 species